AGUCGAGCGGUAACAGAGAGUAGCUUGCUACUCUGCUGACGAGCGGCGGACGGGUGAGUAAUGCUUGGGAAUGUACCUUAUGGUGGGGGACAACAGUUGGAAACGACUGCUAAUACCGCAUAAUGUCUUCGGACCAAAGCGGGGGACCUUCGGGCCUCGUGCCAUAAGAUCAGCCCAAGUGGGAUUAGCUAGUUGGUGAGGUAAUGGCUCACCAAGGCGACGAUCCCUAGCUGGUUUGAGAGAAUGAUCAGCCACACUGGGACUGAGACACGGCCCAGACUCCUACGGGAGGCAGCAGUGGGGAAUAUUGCACAAUGGACGCAAGCCUGAUGCAGCCAUGCCGCGUGUGUGAAGAAGGCCUUCGGGUUGUAAAGCACUUUCAGUAAGGAGGAAAGGUUGGAUGUUAAUAGCAUUCAGCUGUGACGUUACUUACAGAAGAAGCACCGGCUAACUCCGUGCCAGCAGCCGCGGUAAUAC
rnacentral:rRNA from 1 species